rnacentral:rRNA from 1 species
GAGGAAUAUUGGUCAAUGGACGGAAGUCUGAACCAGCCAAGUAGCGUGCAGGAUGACGGCCCUAUGGGUUGUAAACUGCUUUUGUAUGGGGAUAAAGUUAGGGACGUGUCCCUAUUUGCAGGUACCAUACGAAUAAGGACCGGCUAAUUCCGUGCCAGCAGCCGCGGUAAUACGGAAGGUCCGGGCGUUAUCCGGAUUUAUUGGGUUUAAAGGGAGCGUAGGCCGGAGAUUAAGUGUGUUGUGAAAUGUAGACGCUCAACGUCUGACUUGCAGCGCAUACUGGUUUCCUUGAGUACGCACAACGUUGGCGGAAUUCGUCGUGUAGCGGUGAAAUGCUUAGAUAUGACGAAGAACUCCGAUUGCGAAGGCAGCUGACGGGAGCGCAACUGACGCUUAAGCUCGAAGGUGCGGGUAUCGAACAGGAUUAGAUACCCUGGUAGUCCGCACAGUAAACGAUGGAUGCCCGCUGUUGGUACCUGGUAUCAGCGGCUAAGCGAAAGCAUUAAGCAUCCCACCUGGGGAGUACGCCGGCAACGGUG